rnacentral:rRNA from 1 species
GUAGGGAAUAUUGGGCAAUGGUCGGAAGACUGACCCAGCCAUGCCGCGUGCAGGAAGACGGCCCUCUGGGUUGUAUACUGCUUUUAUCUGGGAAGAAAAAGGCCAUUCGUGGCAAAUUGCCGGUACCAGAUGAAUAAGCACCGGCUAACUCCGUGCCAGCAGCCGCGGUAAUACGGAGGGUGCGAGCGUUGUCCGGAUUUAUUGGGUUUAAAGGGUGCGUAGGCGGCUGAUUAAGUCAGCGAUGAAAGGCUUCGGCUUAACCGGAGCAGUGCCGUUGAUACUGGUUGGCUUGAGUGUCGGAGGGGUACAUGGAAUUGAUGGUGUAGCGGUGAAAUGCAUAGAUACCAUCAGGAACACCGAUAGCGAAGGCAUUGUACUGGCCGACAACUGACGCUGAUGCACGAAAGUGUGGGGAUCGAACAGGAUUAGAUACCCUAGUAGUCC